ensembl:lncRNA
CAUCUCUGCCAAAAGAAUCACAGAUCUUUUGAAGUGCAAUUCUUCGCUUCAAGCCAUUAUGGAGCCCGAAAGAAAAAGAAAGGUUCCCACCGUGUGGGAUCAUUUAGAUUUUUUUUUUAUCGGCAAAUAAGCAGACACUGAAAGGACUCUAAUAGUUCAACAUCCACCAACCACUGGAACACAUCUCCAAAGUUCUGCCGGGCCAGCUCAGCUUCCCCUCAGAAGAAGUGCCGCAACUUGCCAGAUGAAGGAGCCUUUUGAGAGGCAGCUGGCAUCGUGAUUGGACUGUACUUUGGUCUGUUCCAAUCCAGCUUCAGCUCCAGAGACGGCAGGCGGGACGAGUCAACGGAGGCCGGGUGGACGAAGGCAUGCAGCUGAGUACAAUCCAGAAAACAACAGAGGAGGAGUGCAGGGCCAGAACAACCAGAGUAGCAUCGUAUGUCUCUUAGAAAACAUCAUAGUAUAGUCUUUGGUAAGAAAAAACGCCAUCAUAUACAUCGUAUAUUGUACAGAUAACAAGUCAAAGGAAAGAGACAUACAUUGUAGAAUUGUAGUAAUUGUGGG